AAAGUGCCUGAAGGUUGCUGUCAGGACAGAACCUUUCAUACAAACAUUAAAGCUCCUUGGGAAAUGAAAAUUCCAGGUUGUGAGACAUGAAGUUUCAUCUGCCAAAGAUAAGAGAAUGUCAGAAAUAUUUUGAGAGUAUAUUGCUGUUCCCUGUAAACACAAGCAAUGGAACUGAAUUCUCAGGAGUCUCUGAGUGGUGUCUCUAGGCAGUUGCUUGAAGGAUUUAACUGAAAAAUUCCAGUUGGCCAAAACAUUUCAGGUGCAGGACCCUGCAUUUGCCCUUGCUGAACUUCAGAUGAUUCUUCUCUGCACAUCCCUCCAACCUCCAAAGUCUUUCUGAAGGGCUGCACAGCUCUCUGGGCUCUGGGCCACUCCUCCCAGCUUUGUGCCAUCAGUGAACAUGCU